AGUGCAGGGGAAAGGACACGCCUUCCUCUCGACCGCACGGAAGGGAAGAUUCAUACCACAGCCGACAGAGUCAGGCGCAAGAUGGCUAUCACAGAACCGAUAUAGAGAUUGAUGUGUUUGCCGUGCGCUCCGGCAGCAGCGAUUCCGACAGGCCCCACGGCGGUCGCAACCCAGCCAGCGGCGAGAACCCUGGGACAAGGACAAUUACUAGCGUCGGCGCUACAGCAAGCGGAUCAGGCCAAGAGGACCUGCUUGUGGCCACCAAUAUUACAGAGGCGUGUAAGAGUGAAUCCAGUCUCGCUGCUCCGCCAUCGAAGCCGUCUGUAUCUUUUUGUUUUGUUUUGGUCGGAGUUUAUUUGCUCUAGAGAGACCAGUCACCUGGUAUGGAACAUCUACUAAUUUCAGAGAAUUUUGCAUGUUCGUCUCGGUGUGUCGUUACACAAUUUGCGGAUGUUGCAACGACACUGAAUCCUGCGUAGAGGUGACGGGCGGCGAAGAAGCUAGCCAAGCUGUGAAAACGGACACGGACAUAUGGUAGGUUAUCCUGUAUCCUUUUCAAUCGAAUGUAGGAUUGGAUACACAUAAUUAUAAAUCGAUUGUUUCAGGUAUGUUGUUGUUUGCUCCACUCUGCUCUUGGAACGCCUCAGCUGUUCCUCUUGCUCUAUCAUGAAUGCUUCUGUUAGCCAUACAACGUGAGCUCAGGGAUAUCUUUUUCCGAAACAGUGCAAAACCCAAUUAGUUAAAUGAUAUUUUUAGUGGAAAUGUAGAUACUAGAUUUUACUAGGACUACGAACUCGGCUCUCAGUCCAUUUCUGUAUAACAUUAAUUGGAUACUCAUUCUGUUCACAGACUCUUCAAGAGUAAGAGAGCUCUCAUGAUUUCGUUCAUCAUGGCUUGUUGAUGCUAAGAGAGCACUAUGCAAAUCUUGGCACUUCACCUGUUCUCACAUUGCCUCCUUCUGUUGACAAUCACAGAUGCCCACUAGAAAAUAGUAAUCCUCUUGGAUCAUCUUAGUCAGCUAUUUGGCAAUCAAACAGGUGCAUAUAUCUGGCAGUGGGUUUGAACAAGUCUAUCCUAUGUCUUAUGAAAUCGUAGUUUUGGGGCAAAACUUGAAGCUGUACUGUACUGUUCAUCACUCCAUCGUCUCAAUACACACGAGACCAGAAUCCAGGAAUGGGCUGCAGACUUGCGUGUUACUUUAUUUAGUAGUUUAGGACUUCUGAUGUUGGUUUCUAGGGGAUUAUGUAAUAGGGUUGUUUGCUCUAUUCUAAGAAUUUUAAUCUGCAUGACCCAACAAUCACCCUAGAAAUUAGUGAUUCGGGACAGUUUUGAGGUUCUCGAUAUUUGGCCUACUUGCCAAUUAAUUUAUUUUUCUUGUGGUCCUUGUAGGGGUUUGUGCUAGAGGAUGCUAAAGGUCUAUCACUUAAUGGGGACCUCAAUGUGCAUCCAGUGAUUGCAAGGUCUUUUCCCCUACACA
rnacentral:lncRNA from 1 species